GGGCCCGGCCCCUGCGCGCAGCAAGUUCUCGAUCAGGAAACUCUUGCCCAGACUGCCAAAGCCGGGCGCAGGAAGGCCGAAGAGUGCUGAGGACGCCACCACAUCCCAGUAGGCUCCGGCCUGGGCGGCCACAGCGCUGGGCAGCAUGGUGCGCGCCCGCUGCCCGGGGAGCCGUGGAGAGCGAGUGCGAAGGGACAGGGACAGGGCGCGGACAGGAUCGGGGCUGAGGGGCAUCUCGCCAGGAUGAGAAGUGGAGUCUUGAAAAAGCACUUGGGAGCCUCUUCUUCCUCUCUUGGAUUCCUGUACUUUCUGGUAGAAGAAGACAAGAGCAAAGCUGACCUAUCUCCAGACCCCGACUGACGAUAGCUCCACGAGUUAGCAGCACAUCCCAGAGCAACGGAUCCAACCAAUAGACCCACACAAUUACUGUUUAAAACUGGAGAGUUGGGGGAGAGAUGAUGUUGGCAAAAGCUUUGACGCUAUGCCUGCACUUGAACCUAGAAAGGAAGCCUUGGAUGACUAGAUAUAAACGACUAGUGAGAAAAACCAUCGUGUCCAAGGAUAUGGUGUCCUGGGGAUGGAACUCAGAAGACCCUUCAUAGACUGUGCUGAAAUCUGGCUCCAAAUGAAUAUCAGCAGAAGGGUCUCCUCAGAUCAGAGGAGUAAACCUGUGGACCAGUCAAGGAUGCAAGCAACGGGAAGCAUCAUCCUAGGGAUGGGAAGGGGAAGAAUGCCUGCCUAGGAAACAGGUGCCCAGUCCAUCUC
rnacentral:lncRNA from 1 species